rnacentral:rRNA from 1 species
UGGGGAAUAUUGCACAAUGGAGGGAACUCUGAUGCAGCGACGCCGCGUGAACGAAGAAGGCUUUCGAGUCGUAAAGUUCUUUUAUAUGGGAAGAUAAUGACGGUACUAUAAGAAAAAGCCCCGGCUAAUUACGUGCCAGCAGCCGCGGUAAUACGUAGGGGGCUAGCGUUGUCCGGAAUCACUGGGCGUAAAGGGUUCGCAGGCGGAAAUGCAAGUCAGGUGUAAAAGGCAGUAGCUUAACUACUGUAAGCAUUUGAAACUGCAUAUCUUGAGAAGAGUAGAGGUAAGUGGAAUUUUUAGUGUAGCGGUGAAAUGCGUAGAUAUUAAAAAGAAUACCGGUGGCGAAGGCGACUUACUGAGCUCAAUCUGACGCUGAGGAACGAAAGCGUGGGUAGCAAACAGG